UACGUAGGGGGCUAGCGUUGUCCGGAUUUACUGGGCGUAAAGAGCGCGUAGGCGGCUCGUUAAGUGUAGAGUGAAAUCUCUGGGCUCACCCCAGAAACUGCUCUGCAUACUGGCGAGCUGGAGUGAUGAAGAGGUUUGUGGAAUUCCUGGUGUAACGGUGAAAUGUGUUGAUAUCAGGAGGAACACCCAUGGCGAAGGCAGCAAACUGGUCAUCAACUGACGCUGAGGCGCGAAAGCGUGGGUAGCAAACAGG
rnacentral:rRNA from 1 species